GAAAAUUUGCUCUUUUAGUAUUUGUCCAGUAGGUUUUCUCAGUGAAGAAGCCCCC
rnacentral:snRNA from 1 species